rnacentral:lncRNA from 1 species
CUAGCCUUCUUCAAGCCUUCAACUACAAAUAACUUAUCGUAACUAUCUAUUAAGUGAUUUCAUCUAUCAAUAAAAUGUACAUCAAGAGCAAUUCCUCUAGUACAAGGGAAUUGCUUACAGGGUGUUGUGCUAGCAGCAUUUGUAUGGUGCAUUUUUUUUGUAUUUUCUGCCGAUGACCAAUAAAAUUUGAUCAAGUGGAAUCUUGCUAAAAAAUUUGUAAAGCUUUACCUGUACACAUAGCAUUACUUGUACAUCAAUGAAAUUUUCAGACAUCAUGUAGGUUUAAAUUUAUGUUUCAAUGGUAUAUAUUGGAAAUUUGUGCGAUUAUGUCAAAUUUUUAUAAAGUUAUUAUGCAAGAGAAUUUAAAUUCUUGGAGUCAAUUCAGAACAAAAAAUAAAUAAAUAAAUAAAUUGAAUAACGGUAUAUAGCAUCACUAGUCUUAAAACAUCAUCGUACUUAGCAUAUAGAUUGGACAUUAAAUGAUAAAUCCAAUUAUAUGUGGUAUUAUGAGACCCAUGUAAUUGAUAUAUUAUGUGUUAUCACGAAUAUUGGUGUUUUAUUUCCACUAAAGCUAUAUAGUAUUAUCUAGCACUAUUUCGACUUCUUUUUUCUUGUGUGCCGUUCGUGAAUUUCUCAUUCAAAGUACAAGGUUUUAUUUUUUUUUUCUUUAAUCUUCUCCAAUCCAAUUUAUCAAAAUAGGAAUAGAAAAAUCACAGAUAAUUAUGUGUGCACCACAAUUUAGUCCAAAUAUCAAGUCUAAACGUGUUAGGUAUAUUCUAAAAAUGUAUGAACAUUGGUUGAAAGAGUACAAAAUGUCUUGUGGUCAUCUGUUGAUAUAUUAAUUGUCUUACUUACUCUGUUUGUCUCUUUCUGUUGAAAAUCUUGUUAUGAAACGGCAAUUUGUGGUUCUCGUAACUAAAGGGUUGUAUCAGGGGCCGACUCAUUAAGUGCUCAGUGGGUGCAAUCUUUAAUUUUUGAUGUUUACAAAGUAGUCCGCAUAAUUUUUUGGUCCAUAAUUUUAAUUUUUUAACCUAUAAUUUUUACAUAAUUCUGUCUCACCUCCAUUGAAUCAUGUUCCUGGGUUCGUCCCUGGAUUGUAUUGGAUUUUCUCAGUACCAUCAAGU